CCUACGGGAUGCAGCAGUGGGGAAUAUUGCACAAUGGGGGAAACCCUGAUGCAGCGACGCCGCGUGAGUGAAGAAGUAAUUCGUUACGUAAAGCUCUAUCAGCAGGGAAGAAAAUGACGGUACCUGAGUACGAAUCCCCGGCUAACUACGUGCCAGCAGCCGCGGUAAUACGUAGUGGGCAAGCGUUAUCCGGAUUUACUGGGUGUAAAGGGAGCGUAGACGGUGCGCCAAGUCUGGAGUGAAAUGCCGCAGCUUAACUGCGGAACUGCUUUGGACACUGGCGAACUAGAGUGCGGGAGGGGUAAGCGGAAUUCCUAGUGUAGCGGUGAAAUGCGGAGAUAUUAGGAGGAACACCGGUGGCGAAGGCGGCUGACUGGACCGUAACUGACGUUGAGGCUCGAAAGCGUGGGGAGCAAACAGGAUUAGAUACCCGAGUAGUC
rnacentral:rRNA from 1 species